AUAUUCCCACGUCGUUACGGGUCCUUCUAACGGGGGUUGCUGCUUGGUGGAGGAUACCCCGGGAAACUGGGGAUAAUACACCAUAAAUAAGGAGUACUGGAAUGUCUCCUAACUGAAAGUUGCGGCGCCAUAGGAUGAAUCUGCGGCCGAUUAGGUAGUUGUUGGGGUAACGGCCCUUCUAGCCUGUAAUCGGUACGGGUUGUGGGAGCAAGAGCCCGGAUAUGGAAUCUGAGACACCCCUCCAGUUUCCCCAAAAAACCCCUUAGGGGGGAAAACUUUACAAGGGAGGAAUUCCUCCCCCUCUUUGUUCCCCGAGUGCCCCCCCCCCCCCCGCUGUCCCGGUGUUUAUUACCCUUCUGAAGAAAGGGCGGGGGGGGAGCGGUGCCCGCCCCCCUCGAUAAUACCGGCGGCUCGAGUGGUGACUACUUUUUAUUGGGCUUAAAGACGUUCGUAGCUUGAAUUUCAAAGUCUCCUGGGAAAUCCCCCCGGCUGAGCUGUGAGGGCGCCUAAUACAUACAGGGAACCUAGGGGACCGGGGAAAAUUUAAAAGGACCUCCGGGGAAAAGUGAAAUCCUGAAACCCUUAAAGGGACAACGAAGGCCAAAGGAACGUUAACAAAACAGCGUCUGACGAUUGAGGAAGGAAAUCAGGGGGGAAUCGAACCGCAAUAAAAUACCUCGUCAAGUCUAAUAUUCUAACUUGGUCAAGAUCGGUUGGCCUUGUGCAUCCAAUUACAGGGGAGGAGCAUAAAUGUAUCACGCGAC
rnacentral:rRNA from 1 species